rnacentral:rRNA from 1 species
AUUGAACGCUGGCGGCAUGCCUUACACAUGCAAGUCGAACGGCAGCACGGGAGCAAUCCUGGUGGCGAGUGGCGAACGGGUGAGUAAUGUAUCGGAACGUGCCCAGUCGUGGGGGAUAACGUAGCGAAAGCUACGCUAAUACCGCAUACGAUCUAUGGAUGAAAGCGGGGGAUCGCAAGACCUCGCGCGAUUGGAGCGGCCGAUAUCAGAUUAGGUAGUUGGUGGGGUAAAGGCUCACCAAGCCGACGAUCUGUAGCUGGUCUGAGAGGACGACAAGCCACACUGGGACUGAGACACGGCCCAGACUCCUACGGGAGGCAGCAGUGGGGAAUUUUGGACAAUGGGCGCAAGCCUGAUUCAGCAAUGCCGCGUGCAGGAUGAAGGCCUUCGGGUUGUAAACUGCUUUUGUACGGAACGAAACGGCGAGCUCUAAUACAGUUUGCUAAUGACGGUACCGUAAGAAUAAGCACCGGCUAACUACGUGCCAGCCGCCGCGGUAAAAC